AUUGAACGCUGGCGGCAUGCUUUACACAUGCAAGUCGAACGGUAACAGGUCUUCGGAUGCUGACGAGUGGCGCACGGGUGCGUAAUACAUCGGAACGUGCCUAGUAGUGGGGGAUAACUACUCGAAAGAGUAGCUAAUACCGCAUGAGAUCUACGGAUGAAAGCAGGGGACCUUCGGGCCUUGUGCUACUAGAGCGGCUGAUGGCAGAUUAGGUAGUUGGUGGGGUAAAGGCUUACCAAGCCUGCGAUCUGUAUCUGGUCUGAGAGGACGACCAGCCACACUGGGACUGAGACACGGCCCAGACUCCUACGGGAGGCAGCAGUGGGGAAUUUUGGACAAUGGGCGAAAGCCUGAUCCAGCAAUGCCGCGUGCAGGAUGAAGGCCCUCGGGUUGUAAACUGCUUUUGUACGGAACGAAAAGCCUGGGGCUAAUAUCCCCGGGUCAUGACGGUACCGUAAGAAUAAGCACCGGCUAACUACGUG
rnacentral:rRNA from 1 species